UACUUUUGAGUGUUUUAGCAUCUUUGC
rnacentral:piRNA from 1 species